CACGUAGGGCGCAAGCGUUUGUCCGGAAUUAUUGGGCGUAAAGAGCUCGUAGGCGGUCUGUUGCGUCCGCUGUGAAAACUCGGGGCUUAACCCCGAGCCUGCAGUGGAUACGGGCAGACUAGAGGUAGGUAGGGGAGAAUGGAAUUCCCGGUGUAGCGGUGAAAUGCGCAGAUAUCGGGAGGAACACCAGUGGCGAAGGCGGCGCUCUGGGCCGGAACUGACGCUGAGGAGCGAAAGCGUGGGUAGCAAACAGG
rnacentral:rRNA from 1 species